rnacentral:rRNA from 1 species
UUAUUAAGCUUGUCAGUGGAUGGCUCGGUUCGAGUGCCGAAGAAGGGCGUGCUAAGCUGCGAUAAG